UCUCGGAUAGCUUAACCGGUAGAGCCCUUGGCGCGUAACCGAGAGAUCUGGGUUCGAUUCCCAGUCUGGGCU
rnacentral:tRNA from 1 species